rnacentral:ribozyme from 18 species
AAUUAAAAGAGAAAAAAGUCUUGGAAUCGAUGAUAAGAUAUGAAACUAUUUUUUCUACAUGUUUUUAGGUUGUUUUUAAGUUUUUUCUUGUUUCUCUCUUUCUUUUCCUACGCGAGUGAAU